GUACAAGUAGAGAACUAAACUAGGUAAGUUUUGAAAAAAAGGAAACGUGAAUCUUACCUAAUCUAAAUAAGGUACCUAAUCAAACAUAAUCAAAUUACAAGGUAAUACAAAAUAUUUCCUAAACUUUUGAGAUUUCUACAACAACAUAUAUAACUCUGAGAACAAAAACAAUUCUAUCUUGACAGGGAAAAUGUAUUUAGCCACAGGAUAAGUUUGCUGUCUAACUCAUUCUGGAUAGACUUUGUAUAAGAAACGCUCAUGUCUUAUUAUAUGAGGCAAGGAAGAACAGACACCGGGUAAUUGAGAUGGAAAAUUAUUUCAUCCUUCUAUACUUUGCUUGUAGCUCAAUAUUUGUCAUCUUUAGCAAGAGAUGCUAUCUCUCUACUGGAAAAUAUGGUGAGAAAAUUGACAUAAGCAGCAAAUUGUAUCCAGAUAGAAAAGGAAAUAGAAUUCGAAACCAAAACUCGGCAUUGGAGCUGGCAGAAAUCCUUGCUGAUGGUUGAAGAAAUAAAGCAAAAAUAAAUUUAAGGCCAAAAGUUUGUCUUAGCCAAAUGAAGAUAAAAACCAUCAGCUUAACAUCAUUGCAUCAAAGCUUCAACACUAGCAUUCAACGGCCUUCUAAGGAUAUCCAGAUUAUUGAGAAUGUUUCAGAACCAAUGGUAGGCUGGUCUGGAGAUGCGUUAGAUAACUUCCAACUCUUGACCGAGUGAAACAGACUGAGAAAAGAUUAAAUCGAAGUUUCUUAGAGCAAAAUAGUAGCAAAACAAAAAGAGGAAGUCAUGUCUCAGCACACCAACACUGUUUCAAAGCUUGGAAAACAAAAUUCAACCUCAGUCUUACAAAAGUAUCAAAAAUUGCAGCCGCAAUAUUAGGCUGAUCUAAAGCGUGCAUUAACAUGUGGAUGAUAUGAUAUACCAGAACAAUUAUGACCACUCAGCAUUAAGCCACUAAAACAUUUACCAGGUCAUAAUGGAAAUGAACCAAAGAGAAAAAAUGAAGAAAGAAACAUGAUAAAAAAACAUAAUAUAUCAGAGAGAGAAAGAGAGAGAGAGCAGCUUACUACUAUAGCAAAAUUUACGCCCAAGGUGUUAGGUGUCUAUACCACCUGAGAAAAUGUUUUGAAACUUGUAUUCUCUGAUAAUAUAUACAGAAGGAGACCCCCAAAAAGAAUCAAAAUUACAAGCCUGCCAGAACUUUAGUAAGAGACAAUAAAUCACACUUCUCACAUUUUGAAAGAUAAACAUUGUUAACAUUCAACUGCCUCCCCUUUGGGAAAAAAAAGAGCAGGUGCCUUGAAUAAUAGAGAAAUUUUAGCCAGUGACAUCCCAAUAAUCAAGAAAGUCAUUUUUUUGAAUUGCAAAUACAAUAAACUUCCUUGAUCCUAUCCUUUCUGCACACGCUUCAGAGUUUUCAUGGCUAUCCCACUACCGUCAUCUCUGGUGGACAACGUAUCAAAGCACAUAAAAAAAUGAUGAGGAAAAUGGAUCAUGUAACAAUUAAAGAAGGAUUAUAGAACAAUCUCAAUUUACGAGCCUACUAUAAUUCUUAUAUAGUAUAAUAAGCCAGCAAUUAUUAAAUUUUCAAGAACAUGCUGACAUAGUUAAUGCCGUCUGGAGGUGUACUAAAAGGAUUUACAAGAGAAGACAAAAAUUAUAGCCUUCACUGAGAAACAAUGAAAUGUCAUCUAAUGACAUGUAAUGUUGGGAAUUUAUUUAAUUAUGCACAGCGGAAAAUAAAAUAAAUUUCAAUUCCCACUGAAGAUCUACUUUGUAAUUAGAUAAAAACUGUGAUAGAAAUUGUACCUCUUGCGAAAUCUACAAAGUCCUUUGCUUUUCUUUUGUUCCAGUAAUCUUGAUUUGUCGCCCACAUUUGUCCAGCUAUCCAAUUGUCCAACUUUCAAUGGAAUUCCACACGAGGAACAAGAUUGUAUGAGAACUAGGGUUUUCUGCUCUUGUACUGGCACGAAAAUUAGA
rnacentral:lncRNA from 1 species